rnacentral:lncRNA from 1 species
GUGUGAUGUUGUGGUACAGGGGGGAUAUGGUGUGAUGUUGUGGUACAGGGGGGAUAUGGUGUGAUGUUGUGGUACAGGGGGAUAUGGUGUGAUGAUGUGGUACAGGGAUAUGGUGUGAUGUUGUGGUACAGGGAUAUGGUGUGAUGUUGUGGUACAGGGGGGAUAUGGUGUGAUGUCGUAGUACAGGGAUAUGGUGUGAUGUUGUGGUACAGGGAUAUGGUGUGAUGUUGUGGUACAGGGAUAUGGUGUGAUGUCGUAGUACAGGGAUAGUACAGUAUUGUGGUAUUGUACAGUAUGUUAUGAUGCUGUCUUGUUUACGGUGUGCUAUGUGAUUUUUUUGUGACGUUUUGUGGUGUGGUAUUCCAAGCAGCUCUUUGUUGAGUCACAGUCUGAGGGAUGAUACGGUACGAGAGGUGAGAGGAGCUGUGAGCUCCAGAGACCAGACAGUGGACUGAAUGAGGAGAGGAGGAGGAGUUAGACUCGCUCAGUCUGCUGGGGGUUAGGCGGGAUAGGAGGGUUAGGAGUGUUAGGAGGGUUAGGAGGGUUAGGAGGGUUAAGAGGGUUAUAAGUGUUAGGAGGGUUAGGAGGGUUAGGAGGGUUAGGAGGGUUAGGAGGGUUAUAAGUGUUAGGAGGGUUAGGAGGGUUAAGAGGGUUAGGAGGGUUAGGAGUGUUAGGAGGGUUAGGAGGGUUAGGAGGGUUAAGAGGGUUAUAAGUGUUAGGAGGGUUAGGAGGGUUAGGAGGGUUAGGAGGGUUAAGAGGGUUAGGAGGGUUAGGAGGGUUAGGAGGGUUAUGAGUGUUAGGAGGGUUAGGAGGGUUAAGAGGGUUAGGAGGGUUAGGAGGGUUAUAAGUGUUAGGAGGGUUAGGAGGGUUAGGAGGGUUAUAAGUGUUAAGAGGGUUAGGAGGGUUAGGAGGGUUAGGAGGGUUAGGAGGGUUAUAAGUGUUAGGAGGGUUAGGAGGGUUAAGAGGGUUAGGAGGGUUAGGAGGGUUAUAAGUGUUAGGAGGUUUAGGAGGGUUAGGAGGGUUAGGAGGGUUAGGAGGGUUAGGAGGGUAAAGAGGGUAAGGAGUGUUAGAAGGGUUAAGAGGGUUAGGAGGGUUAGGAGGGUUAGAAGUGUUAGGAGUGUUAUAAGUGUUAGGAGGGUUAAGAGGGUUAUAAGUGUUAGGAGGGUUAGGAGGGUUAGGAGGGUAAAGAGGGUAAGGAGUGUUAGAAGGGUUAAGAGGGUUAGGAGGGUUAGGAGGGUUAGGAGGGUUAGGAGUGUUAGGAGGGUUAGGAGUGUUUGGAGGGUUAAGAGGGUUAUCAGUUAGACAUGGUGGGAUUUCCUCUUUGUGUGUUGUCUGGACUGGUUGACUAGUCUAUAGUAGCUUGCCACAGAGCCAGAGCCAGCCCAUGCCAGGAGAUAGGAGCCUGGAUAAGAGGGCUCAGACAAAAUGUGGUAUGACCGUCCGCAAAGCUGACAGCCGUUUACCACUUCCGCCUCUGGUGUGUUGAGUUAUUCUCAUGAAAUAGUAUUUCAAAAGACUGAAAAGAAGGAGAAAAAAACACAAACGUGUUGAUUGGCUCACGGCACACUGCCUGAUUCUGA